GGCGUCACUCCCACAAUGCCCCGCACAAUGGGGCCGCCGGGGCCUGAGUCGGAGCCGAGCCUGGCGGGGCCCAGGGGAACGGGAUGAAGAUUUCUUGCUGUUAAAGUCAUAUAAUUGCAAAGGUUCCACCUCUACCUGGACAGCGUAACAGCAAGUCACCCACAAAUAUGAGUUCUGCUUAACAUGGCCCUGUUCUACUAGGCCUGCCAUGACGGCAUUUUAUACAAAUGUUCCUACCUGGAUUCAAGAUGCAAAGCAGGAGGAGGAGGAGACAGGCUGGAAAUUAGUCCCCAGGCAAAGGGGUCGAGAGGCCGAAAGUCAAGGCAAGUGCCAGUGUGAAAUUUCUGGGACCUCCUUUACCAAUGUGGACAAGCUGAGAACUCACACGUUCGCUCAUACGGAGCAGAGACCUUACAACUGCCCUCAGCUGCACUGUGGAAAGGCCUUUGCAUCCAAGUACAAGCUCUAUAGGCACAUGGCCACACACUCUGCCCAGAAGCCUCACCAGUGUAUGUACUGUGAGAAAAUGUUCCACCGGAAGGAUCAUCUCCGCAAUCACCUGCAGACUCAUGACCCCAACAAAGAAGCCCUCCACUGCCCUGAGUGUGGCAAGAACUACAACACCAAACUAGGCUUCAGGCGACACCUGGCUAUGCAUGCAGCUGCCAGUGGUGAUCUGAGCUGCAAAGUGUGCCUGCAGACCUUUGAGAGCACUCAGGUCCUCCUGGAACACCUCAAGGCUCAUUCCAGGAGGGCAUCUGGUGGAACAAAGGAAAAGAAGCACCCAUGUGAUCACUGUGACAGACGCUUCUACACACGUAAAGAUGUGCGGAGACACCUCGUGGUGCACACAGGGCGGAAGGACUUCCUGUGCCAGUAUUGUGCUCAGAGGUUUGGGCGGAAGGACCACCUGACCAGGCACAUGAAGAAGAGCCACUCCCAAGAAUUGCUGAAGAUCAAGACGGAGCCAGUUGACAUGUUAGGUCUCCUAAGCUGUAGCUCAACUGUGGCAGUGAAAGAAGAGUUGAGUCCAGUUUUAUGCAUGGCAUCCAGAGACAUGAUGAGUGGUAAGACCUUUCCAGGCAUGCUGCCUAUGGGCAUGUACAGUACACACCUCCAAGCUAUGCCAAGCUCAGGGAUGCCCCAUUCUUUGGUUCCCAACUCUCUUCCACUGGGAAUGAGUUAUCCUCUGGAAUCAUCUUCUCCUGUCUCCUCCCCACCACAACCUCCUCCGAAGUACCAGCUCGGAUCUACCUCAUAUUUACCUGAGAAACUACCCAAAACAGAGGUGGAGAGCUUUCUGUCAGAGCUUCCUGGCAGUCUGUCUCUCUCAUCUGGUGAGCCUCAGUCCUCCUCACCUCAGCCAGUAACUCUGGACGAGACUCUGCUUUCCAAGAGCCCUGCUAACCUUUCAGAGGCUCUCUGUGCUGCUAGCAUGGACUUUUCUCAUCUUCUGGGCUUCCUCCCGCUGAAUCUUCCUCCAUGUAACCCACCUGUGUCAACAGGGGGGCUGGUCAUGGGCUACUCACAGGGGGAAACCCAGCCAUUGCUUACCACUUUGCAACCUCAACCUCAAGAAUCUCCUGGAGCUGGAGGCUCCCUGAACUUUGGUCCCCUUCAUUCAUUACCCCCUGUCUUCACCUCCAGCUUGAGCACAACCACCCUGCCACGUUUCCACCAGGCAUUCCAGUAAGAUGACUGUGGCACUGGUAACAACUCCCCUGCAGCAUCUUAGCUACAGCUGGAAAUGCAGCUGAUCUGGGCUCCACACUGCCUGGGGUUCAGGCAUCCCUUUCACUUCUCCCUGGAGCCCUCCUCACAUCCUACUUGUGUCCAGGGAUAGCUUCAAAUACCUCAUGGUGUGCAGGCAAGUCCUUUUCAACAUGCACUUAUUUGCUUUUUUAAACUGUUCCUGCCUUUGUGUGUUUGCUUGUCAGACUGUGGCCCUCUCAACAGGCACAACCAAGGAGAGUCCCCUCACCAGGGCAUUUGCAGAUGGAACACUUCCCUUCAACAGCAUUCUGGACCCCACCAGCCUAAACCUGCUUUGAGACACUCACCAUUACAGGCCCAGCUCUUGACUGCAGUUUCCCGCCCACAGAGUUGCCAGGACCCCAACCCCACACCAAGCUUCUCUCUCUCUGAUACAGCCAGGCAAUCCCCACCUGCUCAGCAAUGCCUACAGCAGGAUUCUUAACUACGAUCAAAAGCAAGAAGUGUAUUCUGCCUUGGGCAAGCAUGGCAAAGAGACUCAAAGAG